UUCCUUACAACUUACAGCUCUCAUGAGUUGUGUGUGUAGAAACAUGACUUGUAAUACUUGACUUAUAGUAAGAGACCAGUAUAGACCUAUGCUCUGUAGAACUGUACAAAAAAAAAAAAAACUGCCAGCUGAUGUCUCACACUGAAUAGCAACCCAGGAUUGUCAUUACCUCAUAUUCUGGGCUAAAUGUUCUUCAACAAGCUAAUUUCUCUAUGAUGUGUAGUCUUCCUUCAAUUUCUUAUCUGUUGUCUCUUGAUUUCAAACAUGAUUUGAAGAGUAACUUGUACUUUCUCAGUCAGACCACCACUGAUAUUAACUGCAUGGGUGUCUGUAGCAUACUGAAGACCAUAGUUUAUAUUAUCUGCUCUUUAUAUAGUUUUACCAGCCGGUUUAAGAAAAUGCUGUUAAUUUCAUUUUUUUUCUUUGCAACAGUGAAUUACAAUAUGAUAGCAUCACUACUGUACACAAUGUAUAGCCAAACCUGUCAAUGUUCAGCCAGUCCAACAAUCUUUAAGUACUACAUGUAUCUGACUUUUAAUUUACCUUUAGGCUCUCCUCACAGCAGCCACCCAUCAUACCUCCUGGAUGAAAUGCAGCCAACAACCACAUUUUUGCUGCUUGACAAAGAAGAAUGAGAGAAGAGGUACACAACCUUUCAGAGAACAUGUGGAUGAGGAGUCUUGGUACGCCACCCAUGUGGUCUGGGCUCAUCAGAUGUGAAGUCAACAUGGAUGUCAGUCUGGCCAAGUGAUCGGGGAUGGAGCUGGGUGGCUUUAUGAGGGAACUCAACAGGUUGAUGAACCAGAAUCAAAGAAGAGAAGUGAGGGCUGAAUCUACUGUUCCAAGUUCCUGCAGAUUCCUGAUUAUACAAGUGAUACUGAUUUGCUAGCUGCAGAAAGUGACCUUACUUUUCCGAAGUGCCCGUCUCCACACAGCUUAUCACCUGGGGAAAGAUCACACCAGCGGAGAGCCGGGACUUUGGCAACUCUCUAAGCAGAUGUUAGAUGGGCAGAUGGUCACAGUCAUCUCUUUUGUAACCUUUGCCUAGCUGCUAGAAAAUGGCACAAGUCUCGCACAGUAAUGUGUAUGAGAUGUCUUGUUAUUGUGCUAUAAAAGCUCUUGUUGAUUGUUUUGCAUGAUGAUAAAUUGUUCAGAAAGUUGACAUGAGGAUGCUCAACACUUUUAAAAGUGUUUUUUGUCAUGAAAAAGGGCAUAUGUUGAAAAGAUUAUAGUAUUUUGACAUCACCCACUAAAUUAGAAAUGAAUGGGAUCUUGCACAAUGAUAGCCAGGUGUUCUAAGUUCUGACCAAGGGGGGCUACUGAAAGGUAGCUGGCAUCUCCAAGUGCCUCAGAACCCGAACACUAAGGUAUCAUGUUCAGUGCCUUAUUCUAAUAGAAGUUUUAAGUUCCAUCAAUAAUAUUUUGUCCAACGUUUUUGAAGAGACAUCAUCUUAGGCUUUUUAAUGUACGGAUUCAAAUGAAUAAGAUUGAUCUUGUUUGUUUUUCAAUUGUUCAGAAGAUUUGGGGUUGUUUUCAUGUUGUUUUUUGCUCAAAACAAAUGUUAUAUAUUACUUUGA